rnacentral:rRNA from 1 species
GAGUUUGAUCGUGGCUCAGAUUGAACGCUGGCGGAAUGCUUUACACAUGCAAGUCGAGCGGCAGCGCGGGGCAACCUGGCGGCGAGCGGCGAACGGGUGAGUAAUGCAUCGGAACAUGUCCAUGUCGUGGGGGAUAGCCCGGCGAAAGCCGGAUUAAUACCGCAUACGCCCGAGAGGGGAAAGUGGGGGACCGCAAGGCCUCACGCGAUUGGGUUGGCCGAUGUCCGAUUAGCUAGUUGGCGGGGUAAAGGCCCACCAAGGCGAUGAUCGGUAGCUGGUCUGAGAGGAUGAUCAGCCACACUGGGACUGAGACACGGCCCAGACUCCUACGGGAGGCAGCAGUGGGGAAUUUUGGACAAUGGGGGAAACCCUGAUCCAGCCAUUCCGCGUGAGUGAAGAAGGCC